UACGGAGGGGGCUAGCGUUGUUCGGAAUUACUGGGCGUAAAGCGCGCGUAGGCGGACCUGCAAGUCGGGGGGUGAAAGCCCGAGGCUCAACCUCGGAACUGCCUUCGAUACUGCGGGUCUCGAGUCCGGGAGAGGUGAGUGGAAUUCCGUGGUGUAGCGGUGAAAUGCGCAGAUAUCAGGAAGAACACCCGUGGCGAAGGCGGCUCUCUGGGACGGUACUGACGCUGAGACGCGAAAGCGUGGGGAGCGAACAGG
rnacentral:rRNA from 1 species